rnacentral:piRNA from 1 species
UUCAAAAGGUUGUAUCUGCGGCGAGUGUC